rnacentral:rRNA from 1 species
GGUUCUACAGUGAAAGACGGUCUUGCUGUCACUUAUAGAUGGACCCGCGCCGUAUUAGCUAGUUGGUGGGGUAACGGCCUACCAAGGCGACGAUACGUAGCCGACCUGAGAGGGUGAUCGGCCACACUGGAACUGAGACACGGUCCAGACUCCUACGGGAGGCAGCAGUAGGGAAUCUUCCGCAAUGGGCGAAAGCCUGACGGAGCAACGCCGCGUGAGUGAUGAAGGUCUUCGGAUCGUAAAGCUCUGUUGUUAGGGAAGAACAAAUGUGUAAGUAACUGUGCACAUCUUGACGGUACCUAACCAGAAAGCCACGGCUAACUACGUGCCAGCAGCCGCGGUAAUACGUAGGUGGCAAGCGUUAUCCGGAAUUAUUGGGCGUAAAGCGCGCGUAGGCGGUUUUUUAAGUCUGAUGUGAAAGCCCACGGCUCAACCGUGGAGGGUCAUUGGAAACUGGAAAACUUGAGUGCAGAAGAGGAAAGUGGAAUUCCAUGUGUAGCGGUGAAAUGCGCAGAGAUAUGGAGGAACACCAGUGGCGAAGGCGGCUUUCUGGUCUGCAACUGACGCUGAUGUGCGAAAGCGUGGGGAUCAAACAGGAUUAGAUACCCUGGUAGUCCACGCCGUAAACGAUGAGUGCUAAGUGUUAGGGGGUUUCCGCCCCUUAGUGCUGCAGCUAACGCAUUAAGCACUCCGCCUGGGGAGUACGGUCGCAAGACUGAAACUCAAAGGAAUUGACGGGGACCCGCACAAGCGGUGGAGCAUGUGGUUUAAUUCGAAGCAACGCGAAGAACCUUACCAAAUCUUGACAUCCUUUGACCGCUCUAGAGAUAGAGUUUUCCUCUUCGGAGGACAAAGUGACAGGUGGUGCAUGGUUGUCGUCAGCUCGUGUCGUGAGAUGUUGGGUUAAGUCCCGCAACGAGCGCAACCCUUGAACUUAGUUGCCAUCAUUCAGUUGGGCACUCUAAGUUGACUGCCGGUGACAAACCGGAGGAAGGUGGGGAUGACGUCAAAUCAUCAUGCCCCUUAUGAUUUGGGCUACACACGUGCUACAAUGGACAAUACAAAGGGCAGCGAAACCGCGAGGUCAAGCAAAUCCCAUAAAGUUGUUCUCAGUUCGGAUUGUAGUCUGCAACUCGACUACAUGAAGCUGGAAUCGCUAGUAAUCGUAGAUCAGCAUGCUACGGUGAAUACGUUCCCGGGUCUUGUACACACCGCCCGUCACACCACGAGAGUUUGUAACACCCG